rnacentral:tRNA from 11 species
GGCGGUGUAGCUCAGAUGGCUAGAGCAUGCGGUUCAUACCCGCAGUGUCACUGGUUCGAUUCCAGUCACCGCCACCA